rnacentral:rRNA from 1 species
AGCGAACGCUGGCGGCAGGCCUAAUACAUGCAAGUCGAGCGGGUCCUUCGGGAUUAGCGGCGGACGGGUGAGUAACGCGUGGGAACGUGCCCUUUGGUACGGAACAACUGAGGGAAACUUCAGCUAAUACCGUAUGUGCCCUACGGGGGGAAAGAUUUAUCGCCAUUGGAGCGGCCCGCGUUGGAUUAGGUAGUUGGUGAGGUAAAGGCUCACCAAGCCUACGAUCCAUAGCUGGUCUGAGAGGAUGACCAGCCACACUGGGACUGAGACACGGCCCAGACUCCUACGGGAGGCAGCAGUAGGGAAUCUUGCGCAAUGGGCGAAAGCCUGACGCAGCCAUGCCGCGUGAAUGAUGAAGGUCUUAGGAUUGUAAAAUUCUUUCACCGGGGACGAUAAUGACGGUACCCGGAGAAGAAGUCCCGGCUAACUUCGUGCCAGCAGCCGCGGUAAU